GACGAACGCUGGCGGCGUGCUUAACACAUGCAAGUCGAACGGAAAGGCUCCAGCUUGCUGGAGCACUCGAGUGGCGAACGGGUGAGUAACACGUGAGUAAUCUGCCCUGCACUCUGGGAUAAGCCUGGGAAACUGGGUCUAAUACUGGAUAUGACCUUUCUCCUUAUGGGGUUUGGUGGAAAGUUUUUCGGUGUAGGAUGAGCCCGCGGCCUAUCAGCUUGUUGGUGGGGUGAUGGCCUACCAAGGCGACGACGGGUAGCCGGCCUGAGAGGGUGAUCGGCCACAUUGGGACUGAGAUACGGCCCAGACUCCUACGGGAGGCAGCAGUGGGGAAUAUUGCACAAUGGGCGGAAGCCUGAUGCAGCGACGCCGCGUGAGGGAUGACGGCCUUCGGGUUGUAAACCUCUUUCAGCAGGGACGAAGCGUAAGUGACGGUACCUGCAGAAGAAGCACCGGCUAACUACGUG
rnacentral:rRNA from 1 species